rnacentral:rRNA from 1 species
UACAGAGGCCCCAAGCGUUACUGAGAAUCACUGGGUUUAAAGGGUGCGUAGGUGGCGCGUUAAGUCCGUUGUGAAAUCCCUUGGCUCAACCAAGGAAUGGCUUCGGAUACUGGCGUGCUUGAGGCUGGUAUGGGUCACUGGAACUGACGGUGGAGCGGUGAAAUGCGUAGAUAUCGUCAGGAACGCCAAUGGUGAAGACAGGUGACUGGGCCAGUUCUGACACUGAGGCACGAAAGCGUGGGGAGCGAACAGG